AUGAGGCUGGUGGUUGGAGUAACUGUUUUUCUGACCUUGGGGAUUGUGAUUGAUGCUAAGACCACUCAGCCCAGCUCCAUGGAUUGUGUUGAAGGAGAGGAUGUAAACCUGCCUUGUAACCACUCUACCAUUGGUGGAGAUGACUAUAUACAUUGGUAUCAGCAAAAUCCCAAUCAGAGUCCACAGUAUGUCAUUCAUGGCUUACAAGGCACAGUGAACAGCAGCAUGGCCUCUCUGACCAUAGCUUCAGACAGAAAGUCCAGGUGCCCCAGGUCACCCUGA